GACCGGCGCACGGGUGCGUAACGCGUAUGCAAUCUACCUUUUACAGAGGGAUAGCCCAGAGAAAUUUGGAUUAAUACCUCAUAGUAUUACGAAAUGGCAUCAUUUUGUAAUUAAAGUCACAACGGUAAAAGAUGAGCAUGCGUCCCAUUAGCUAGUUGGUAAGGUAACGGCUUACCAAGGCUACGAUGGGUAGGGGUCCUGAGAGGGAGAUCCCCCACACUGGUACUGAGACACGGACCAGACUCCUACGGGAGGCAGCAGUGAGGAAUAUUGGACAAUGGGCGCAAGCCUGAUCCAGCCAUGCCGCGUGCAGGAUGACGGUCCUAUGGAUUGUAAACUGCUUUUAUACGAGAAGAAACACUCCGACGUGUCGGAGCUUGACGGUAUCGUAAGAAUAAGGAUCGGCUAACUCCGUGCCAGCAGCCGCGGUAAUACGGAGGAUCCAAGCGUUAUCCGGAAUCAUUGGGUUUAAAGGGUCCGUAGGCGGUUUAAUAAGUCAGUGGUGAAAGCCCAUCGCUCAACGGUGGAACGGCCAUUGAUACUGUUAAACUUGAAUUAUUAGGAAGUAACUAGAAUAUGUAGUGUAGCGGUGAAAUGCUUAGAGAUUACAUGGAAUACCAAUUGCGAAGGCAGGUUACUACUAAUGGAUUGACGCUGAUGGACGAAAGCGUGGGUAGCGAACAGGAUUAGAUACCCUGGUAGUCCACGCCGUAAACGAUGGAUACUAGCUGUUGGAAGCAAUUUCAGUGGCUAAGCGAAAGUGAUAAGUAUCCCACCUGGGGAGUACGUUCGCAAGAAUGAAACUCAAAGGAAUUGACGGGGGCCCGCACAAGCGGUGGAGCAUGUGGUUUAAUUCGAUGAUACGCGAGGAACCUUACCAAGGCUUAAAUGUAGAUUGACCGUUUUGGAAACAGAACUUUCGCAAGACAAUUUACA
rnacentral:rRNA from 1 species